AUCACUAGGUUCAUGUUCCCACCAUGAAAUAAAUAAUGUAUCUAAUUGAUGUAUCAUUUGUUUUGUCUUUUUUUAUUAUUAGCUUGAUCCAACCUCGCACCAUAAUCAACGUAAAAAUCAAUUAAUUAGAUUUCCUUUGAAAUGUGAAAGAGUUCCAUCAGCAGACUCUGACAAACA